rnacentral:lncRNA from 1 species
GGCUUUGACCAGCACCAGUCAUUGUCACUGCCACUUGUCACAAUCAAUUUGACAGCAAACGUCAAUUGCGAGAGCAUAAUUUCCAAGGCCCAAGCAUGCGUUUUAGUAAGGAAUUAAGGAUGCCGAGCCGAAACCAGGGUCACGUUGUGACGUCAAUGCCCCAGGUUAGAAUGUCAGGUGCUGCUAAGUUCACUUAUGGGGUGCUGAUGAGUGUGGUGAUUGUGGGCCCCUUGAUAGCAACAAUCAGCUUCAUCCCCUACAUGCGAGACAAAAAAGGUGGCGGGUAAAAAUCCGUACAAUGAGUGUGUGUCCGGUUCGGGUGUGAAUGUUGCAGUGAAAUAAAUCCUGAUGGUAAAUUA